UACAGAGGUCUCAAGCGUUGUUCGGAUUCAUUGGGCGUAAAGGGUGCGUAGGCGGCGCGGUAAGUCGGGUGUGAAAUCUCGGAGCUUAACUCCGAAACUGCAUUCGAUACUGCCGUGCUUGAGGACUGGAGAGGAGACUGGAAUUUACGGUGUAGCGGUGAAAUGCGUAGAUAUCGUAAGGAAGACCAGUGGCGAAGGCGGGUCUCUGGGCAAUUCCUGACGCUGGAGGCGACGAAAGCGUGGGGAGCAAACGGG
rnacentral:rRNA from 1 species